CACGUAGGGUGCGAGCGUUGUCCGGAAUUAUUGGGCGUAAAGAGCUCGUAGGCGGUGUGUCGCGUCGGCCGUGAAAACCUGCAGCUUAACUGUGGGCUUGCGGUCGAUACGGGCAUCACUGGAGUUCGGCAGGGGAGACUGGAAUUCCUGGUGUAGCGGUGAAAUGCGCAGAUAUCAGGAGGAACACCGGUGGCGAAGGCGGCAUC
rnacentral:rRNA from 1 species